rnacentral:rRNA from 1 species
AUUGAACGCUGGCGGCAUGCCUUACACAUGCAAGUCGAACGGCAGCACGGGUGCUUGCACCUGGUGGCGAGUGGCGAACGGGUGAGUAAUACAUCGGAACAUGUCCUGUAGUGGGGGAUAGCCCGGCGAAAGCCGGAUUAAUACCGCAUACGAUCUAUGGAUGAAAGCGGGGGACCUUCGGGCCUCGCGCUAUAGGGUUGGCCGAUGGCUGAUUAGCUAGUUGGUGGGGUAAAGGCCUACCAAGGCGACGAUCAGUAGCUGGUCUGAGAGGACGACCAGCCACACUGGGACUGAGACACGGCCCAGACUCCUACGGGAGGCAGCAGUGGGGAAUUUUGGACAAUGGGCGAAAGCCUGAUCCAGCAAUGCCGCGUGUGUGAAGAAGGCCUUCGGGUUGUAAAGCACUUUUGUCCGGAAAGAAAUCCUUGGUUCUAAUAUAGCCGGGGGAUGACGGUACCGGAAGAAUAAGCACCGGCUAACUACGUGCCAGCAGCCGCGGUAAUACGUAGGGUGCGAGCGUUAAUCGGAAUUACUGGGCGUAAAGCGUGCGCAGGCGGUUUGCUAAGGCCGAUGUGAAAUCCCCGGGCUCAACCUGGGAACUGCAUUGGUGACUGGCAGGCUAGAGUAUGGCAGAGGGGGGUAGAAUUCCACGUGUAGCAGUGAAAUGCGUAGAGAUGUGGAGGAAUACCGAUGGCGAAGGCAGCCCCCUGGGCCAAAACUGGACGCUCAUGCACGAAA